CUUCCCAUUUGACUACCACAUUUUGUCCUAAUAAUAGAUUUUAGUGGCUAUGCUUAUGGGAUAGAUUAAAAUUGCCAUGAUAUGAAGAGGGAGGAUUUAUUUGUGUCCUCCUCCUCCUAUAUGAAAUGGCUGAACAGAAAAAA